rnacentral:rRNA from 1 species
GAUGAACGCUGGCGGCAUGCCUAACACAUGCAAGUCGAUCGGUAAGGCUCUUCGGAGUGCACGAGAGGCGGACGGCCGAGUAACUCGCAGGAACACACCCUGCAGUGAGGGAUAAGAUACCGCAAGGUGUCUUAAUACCGCAUACGGUCUUCGGAUUAAAGCAUUUAUGCGCUGAAGGAGUGGCCUGCGUCAUAUUAGAUAGUUGGUGAGGUAAUGGCUCACCAAGUCGAUGAUGUGUAGCUGGUCUGGGAGGAUGAUCAGCCAGACUGGAACUGAGACACGGUCCAGACUCCUACGGGAGGCAGCAGUGAGGAAUAUUUCACAAUGAGCGAAAGCUUGAUGGAGCAAUGCCGCGUGCAGGGUGAAGGCCCUCGGGUUGUAAACUGCUUUUAUAAGAGAAGAUUAUGACGGUAACUUAUGAAUAAGGGACGGCUAACUACGUG